GGCCGAUUGGGUGAAUGGUUUAGCCGGAGGUCCGCAAAACCUUUUAUGGCGGUUCGAUCCCGCCAUCGGCCU
rnacentral:tRNA from 1 species